rnacentral:rRNA from 1 species
UGGGGAAUAUUGCACAAUGGGCGAAAGCCUGAUGCAGCAACGCCGCGUGAGUGAUGAAGGUCUUCGGAUUGUAAAGCUCUGUCUUUUGGGACGAUAACGACGGUACCAAAGGAGGAAGCCACGGCUAACUACGUGCCAGCAGCCGCGGUAAUACGUAGGUGGCGAGCGUUGUCCGGAUUUACUGGGCGUAAAGGGUGCGUAGGCGGAUGUUUAAGUGAGAUGUGAAAUACCCGGGCUUAACUUGGGUGCUGCAUUUCAAACUGGAUAUCUAGAGUGCAGGAGAGGAGAAUGGAAUUCCUAGUGUAGCGGUGAAAUGCGUAGAGAUUAGGAAGAACACCAGUGGCGAAGGCGAUUCUCUGGACUGUAACUGACGCUGAGGCACGAAAGCGUGGGUAGCAAACAGGAUUAGAUACCCUGGUAGUCCACGCCGUAAACGAUGAGUACUAGGUGUAGGAGGUAUCGACCCCUUCUGUGCCGCAGUAAACACAUUAAGUACUCCGCCUGGGAAGUACGAUCGCAAGAUUAAAAC